GACGAACGCUGGCGGCGUGCUUAACACAUGCAAGUCGAACGGAAAGGCCCUUCGGGGUACCGGAGGGGUGAACGGGGGGGUGAAACGUGGGUGUUCGUCCCGGACCUUUGGGAUAAGCUUGGGAAACUGGGGCAAAUACCCAAUGGGACCACGAGCUUCCGGGGUUGUGGUGGCAAGCUUUUGCGGUGGGGGAUGGGCCCGCGGCCUAUCAGCUUGUUGGUGGGGUAAUGGCCUACCAAGGCGACGACGGGUAGCCGGCCUGCGAGGGUGACAGGCCACACUGGGACUGAGCUGCGGCCCAGACUCCUACGGGAGGCAGCAGUGGGGAAUAUUGCACAAUGGGCGCAAGCCUGAUGCAGCGACGCCGCGUGAGGGAUGACGGCCUUCGGGUUGUAAACCUCUUUCAAUAGGGACGAAGCGCAAGUGACGGUACCUAUAGAAGAAGCACCGGCUAACUACGUG
rnacentral:rRNA from 1 species